rfam:Myotis lucifugus cont2.37655, whole genome shotgun sequence.
CUGUAUAUACCCUGUAGAUCCGAAUUUGUGUAAGAAAUUUUGUGGUCACAAAUUCGUAUCUAGGGGAAUAUGUAGU